UAUGUGGUACUAAUGACAAUUCUCACCAUUUUUUUGGUGUGAACUCCGCGAGUAAACUAGAACGAUUCACUUGAAAGUUGAAUAUGACAGCGUGGGAAAUCUGAUGAUGCCUAUUGAUUACGUUGCUUAUCUUGAUCAUAGGGAUAAAUUGUAAGAAUGAAUGAGGGCAUUAGUACUUAGCAGCUAGAGGUGAAAUUCCUAGAUUUGCUAAUGACUGCCUACUGCGAAAGCAUCUGCCUAAUUCAUUUUUGGUGAUCAAGUACUAAAGAGUGGGGAUCGAAGAGGAUUAGAUACCCUCGUAGUCCACUCCCUAAACGAUGCCGACUAGAGGUUGGUAUGCGUAUAUGAACUUUAUCAGAACCUUAGCAGAUAUGAAAGUCUUUGGGCUCUGGGGGGAGUACGGUCGCAAGGUCGAAACUUAAAGGAAUUGACGGAACGGCACCACCAGGGGUGGAGCGUGCGGCUUAAUUUGACUCAACGCGGGAAACCUUACUAGGGUAAGACAUCAGUAUGAUUGACAGAUUACUUGAUCUUUCUUGAUUUGGUGGGUGGUGGUGCAUGGCCGAUCUUAGUUGGUGGGGUGACCCGUCUGGUUAAUUUCGAUAACGAACGAGAUCCGAGCUGUUUAGUUGGCCAUGGCUGUAUUACAGUUAUGUGUCUCCUAUAUGGACUAUCAGUUUGAGGCUGAAGGAAGUUUCGGGCUAAAUCAGGUCUGUGAUGCCCUUAGACACUCUAGGCGGCACGCGCGCUACAAUGGGUAAAUGACUGUGUUACUGCCUGCGAAAGUAGGGGUGAAUCACGAAUUUUAACCCGCGAAUGGGAUAGUUUGUUGCAAUUUUCGGACUUGAACUAGGAAUCCCUUGUAAGCAUCCUCAAGAAUAGUAUGUUGAAUACGUCCCUGCCGUUUGUACACACCGCCCGUCGUUUCUUCCGACUGAUACUCAUUGUGAGUUGCAAGGAUCCUUUGUUGGAGAAUUGCUGCGAAUGCUUUGUAUUGGAGGAAGAAAAAGUCGUAACAAGGUUAUCGUAGGUGAACCUGCGAUAG
rnacentral:rRNA from 1 species